UCCUUCGCUCCUCGGCCAUUCUGCUUCUCUCUUUUCACCGCCUCGCACUGCCGUAUCAGAACACUGCGAGCUUGGCUCUAAGCUUUUGCCAAGUGAAAUUGGAUAUGGAUUUGAAGAGGUAACUUGAUCUGGAGAUGGAAGCACGCAUGUGUCUUCAACGAGAAGGAAUUUCUCAACUCUUGAAGCUCGAAAUUUGCUGUAUUGCUUCUUCCUGUGAGAAAUUGGCUUUCUUCAAAAUUUCGGGGCAUUUCUUCCACUUAUUUUGCUGGGAUUGCCUUUUGGGCUUCACUCUUGAACACCUGGUAAGCUGGGAUCGCAUUUUGUGAUUCUCUCCUGCACACUUGGUGAGCUGGGAUUGCAUUUCAUGCUUCUCUCCUGAAUGCCUGGUGAGCAUUGAGACGGGUAAUUGCUACCUCAAUGAGACGGGUACCAGUGGAGGCAAGAACUUUGACAGCGUGAUUUCACCGCUGGGAUUUGAUGGACAAAGUUGUUGGAAAUACUCCAAGAGAACAUCAAGGGUGAGCUUUCCUCUCCAGACACCAAUCUUGAUGAUUUUGGUUUGUCUCGCUUGGUCAAUUCCUUGUGUGGCUUGUUUGCAAGUGGUGCAAGGCCAUUUGUUGUGUUGCGGUGGAAAGGAAGACAGGAGGUGGAAGACUUUUGGUGGUGACCGUUGUUGCUUCUGCAAAACAGCUCUUGUGGAGGCAAAUGGGCAUUGGCCUUGUAUGAUGGCACUGUUUUCUGCUGCAAAGCACUUGUUGGUACUCAACAAGGCUUAAAAAAUUCCACUGGAUUGGUCAUACACCCAUUGAUACACAUGUAUUGUAAACGGGAUUGCGACAGCUCCGAGGACCUCCACAGCUCCAUGGUGACACAGGUAAAAGAGAUGCUGCACAGAAAAAGAAAGUAGCACGGGUGGAUCAGAGAGGCCCCAACCUUUGUGUUGUUUGCUUGUUGGCUCCUUGCUUCGAUCAAAAUUGCUGAACACUUCCUCUCUCCUCUGCAGCAAGGCUUUGCCUCUUUCUUGAUGUAUUUCAUGUGUGUCUUCUCUCCAGUCUUUUCUGCUACCGCUCUCUAGCCUUUUCUGCUCUGCUCCGCUGCCCCCUUUGCUCUUGAAGUCGAGCCUUUUUAUAGGCAGCUAGGAACCCAAAUGGUUGGCUGAAGAUAAGGAUUAACUUGCAAUUUGAAUUCAAAAUUGAAGUUAUAAUUUGUCACUCUGAAGAUGAUCACAGCAGCAACAAAACUCCAAUUUUCACAUUUGAAGCUUGAACCAGUAGCUUCUUCAAAUAGAUGGCAAGCCUUCUGACCCUACCUGUUCUACCUGUUAUUGGUGCCUUGGUUACUGAGUCUGCAGAUGAAAAUUAAAUCAGAGAACAUGGAGAAAAUUCUACUCUAUAGCUUUACCAAGGACAAGUCUCGCAUAAGAUCAUGGAGCCGGCAAGCUUUAACCUUCCCAUUUAAACCAGGUUUUACAACUUGAACGAUGCACCUCCACCAAUUCACUUGAUUAGGAGAUUAUACGAUACAUCUUCCAUUGUCUCCACUGAACCAUGCAUUUCAUCUCUUCUGCAGUCCACAAUUGAGUCAACCAUUUCACCGGUACAUCAUAAUCUUUAGGAAAUUGGGUAAAUAUAGAAAGCCUAGAUUUAAAUGGGAUGGCAAGUCAUCAAAACUCAAUGCCAAGGUACCUGAAGCGCCAUUUCACCUGGUGCCUUUCUUGAUUUCAGACAAGAGAUCGAUAUCUCUUCAUUGUAUAUGAAGUUACUUACUAAAACAACUACAAUAA